CAAGCCGUUUGAAUAUGUUAUCAAGAUAUUGAUAUGUAAAUGUUUUUCUCAUUUUUAUCCGAUAUUCUUAACAAUUGUGCAUUAAACAGUGAUAGUUAACCAACUUCCAUGGCUACAAUCAAUGACAUUAUGUUGACUUUAAAACCCCCGAAAACCAAAAAUCAGUCAAACCAGGGAAAGGUUUUGGGUAACAGACACAACAAUGGAAAUGAUUGUUGAACAAUAUAAAGUUAAUUGUCAAACUUUGGUCCAAUGAUGUUAGUAGCAAAGGGUGAGAUCAAUUUUAAUCCUUGUAACUCGACUCUGUUGCACUGAAAUUACCUCUUGGAUUGGGUCUUGAUACGGACAAAUUAAGGUUAGUUGGUCAAUUGGAUAUUAGAAUGAAUUUUGCUCUUAAUUAUUGAUUCCAUUGUCUGAAUGCAACUUUCAUGAUCAUUAAUCUUGUCAUUAGUAAAUCAAUCGUUGAAUAACAGUUUGAUCAAGAUCAAAUUCAAUGAAUUAGACUAUUGAAUUGCAAAGAAAAAGAUUUCUAUCAUUGUUGGAAUAUUUUACUUCUUCAAAUCAUUCAGAUUUUUAUUCAUGUUUCAUGGUAAGUAUCAAUGUUGGUUAUCAUUUAUGACGAUGACGAUGUGAAUGAUGUGAAAUGAGAAAACCUUUGAGAAGAUGAAAUGAAAAUCAAUUUUCAUGCAUUUAACGUUAUCUUAAUUUUAUCCCUUUUUUACUUUGAUUAUCAGUGGGAGGUUGAAAUCUGAAUCUUUUUUUUCAAGAAACUUUUCAUCUCAAGUUUUUCAUCCAAAUCUUCAUCCAUCAUCUUCAGCCAAAUAUUCAAAAUAAUCAUAAUAACAGUAAUAAUAGAGAUGGAUCAAUUUGAUAAUGGAAAGUAAUUCAAAGGUUUAUUCUGAGCAUAAAGCAUAUUCAAUCAAUUUGGUUCAAUUUUUGUUUAUCUUGUUUCUCUUCAUGAUCAAGAUGAUCAUGUUUGGUUUAAAGCUUCUGCAGCUUACCUAUCAAGGUAUUUAGAUUCAUAUUCAAGUGCUCAAAUGAUAAUCAAUGCAACUGUUUACUGCAAUAUUGGUUUUUACUUUUGUCAUGUUAAAUGGUUCAACUUUUC